GCGCUCGUGGCCAAGUAGCUAAGGCAACAGGCUGCAAAUUUACUGGUAAGAUAAGGUUUUACCAAUGAAAAGUUGUCCCCUGUGAUCCUGGGUGCAAAUCCCAGCGAGCGCU
rnacentral:tRNA from 1 species